CUUAGAAGCAGCCACUCAUUUAAAGAGUGCGUAAUAGCUCACUGGUCGAGUGAUUCUGCGCCGAAAAUUUCCGGGGCUAAAACUUACUACCGAAGCUACGGCAUCAUUAUGAUGGGUAGGGGAGCUUUCUAUGCGGCUUGAAGCAUGACCGUAAGGACAUGUGGACUGCAUAGAAGUGAGAAUGUUGGCAUGAGUAGCGAGAUGUGGGUGAGAAUCCCACAGGCCGUAAACCCAAGGUUUCCAGGGGAAGGUUCGUCCGCCCUGGGUUAGUCAGGACCUAAGCCGAGGCCGAAAGGCGUAGGUGAUGGACAACAGGUUGAUAUUCCUGUACCACCAAUAACCGUUUGAGAAAUGGGAUGACACAGUAGGAUAAGCUAACCGCACUGUUGGUUAUGUGCGGGCAAGUAUUGAGGCAGUUCCGAUAGGCAAAUCCGUCGGAAUAAUGCUGGGGUACGAUGCGGAGCGAAAUUUAGUAGCGAAGUAGCUGAUUUCACACUGUCGAGAAAAGUCUCUAUCGAGGUUAAAGGUGCCUGUACCGCAAACCGACACAGGUGGGUGAGGAGAGUAUCCUAAGGCCAGCGAGAGAACUGUUGUUAAGGAACUCGGCAAAAUGACCCCGUAACUUCGGGAGAAGGGGUGCCUUCGAAAGAAGGCCGCAGAGAAUAGGCCCAAGCGACUGUUUACCAAAAACAUAGGUUUCUGCUAAGUCGCAAGACGAUGUAUAGGAGCUGACGCCUGCCCGGUGCUGGAAGGUUAAGGGGAUCUGUUAGAGCAAUCGAAGCAGUGAACUUAAGCCCCAGUAAACGGCGGCCGUAACUAUAACGGUCCUAAGGUAGCGAAAUUCCUUGUCGGGUAAGUUCCGACCCGCACGAAAGGCGUAACGAUUUGGGCACUGUCUCAACAACAGACUCGGUGAAAUUGUAAUACCGGUGAAGAUGCCGGUUACCUGCGACAGGACGGAAAGACCCCAUGGAGCUUUACUGUAGCUUGACAUUGAGUCUCGGUGCUACAUGUACAGGAUAGGUGGGAGACUAUGAAGCAUGGACGUCAGUCUGUGUGGAGUCAUCCUUGGGAUACCACCCUUGUAGUACUGGGAUUCUAACCAGAGGCCAUGAAUCUGGUCUUGGGACACUGUCAGGUGGACAGUUUGACUGGGGCGGUCGCCUCCCAAAAAGUAACGGAGGCGCUCAAAGGUUCUCUCAGUACGGUCGGAAAUCGUACGAAGAGUGUAAAGGCAAAAGAGAGCUUGAUUGCAAGACAUACAGGUCGAGCAAGGACGAAAGUCGGACUUAGUGAUCCGGUGGUUCCGCAUGGAAGGGCCAUCGCUCAACGGAUAAAAGCUACCCUGGGGAUAACAGGCUGAUCUCCCCCAAGAGUCCACAUCGACGGGGAGGUUUGGCACCUCGAUGUCGGCUCAUCACAUCCUGGGGCUGUAUUCGGUCCCAAGGGUUCGGCUGUUCGCCGAUUAAAGUGGUACGCGAGCUGGGUUCAGAACGUCGUGAGACAGUUCGGUCCCUAUCCGUCGCAGGCGUAGGAAAUUUGAGGAGACCUGUCCUUAGUACGAGAGGACCGGGAUGGACGUACCGCUGGUGUACCAGUUGUUCUGCCAAGGGCAUGGCUGGGUAGCUAAGUACGGAAAGGAUAAGCGCUGAAAGCAUCUAAGCGCGAAGCCCACUUCAAGAUAAGAUUUCCCACCGCAAGGUUAAGAUCCCAGGAAGACUACCUGGUUGAUAGGUCAGAGGUGUAAGUGCAGUAAUGUAUUUAGCUUACUGAUACUAAUAGAUCGAGGACUUGACCAA
rnacentral:rRNA from 1 species